GGGGCUAUGGCUCAAUGGUAGAGCUUUCGACUCCAGAUCGAAAGGUUGCAGGUUCGAUUCCUGUUGGCCUCA
rnacentral:tRNA from 1 species